AAAAUAAUCUUAUUUUCCUAACACAGAAAAGAAGUGAAGUGGGAAUAAAAAUGUUGUUUUGGCAGAGUUACAUUGUUUAAAGGUAAGGAAUGGGGUAUUGAGAUAUGCUUGCAGUGAUAAGAAAACUUAGAAGAGGACCUUGUAAAAUGCAGACAACCAGACUCCUUAGGACAAUUAGGUAAAAAUCAUGGUGUUAAGUCAAGUCAGAUAAGUGAAGAAACAUUACCACUUCAAACAGUAAAAAAGGUCUAAAGAAAUUUGAAAUUUAACAGGCCAGCAACUGAAGGCCAUGCAUUGUCUGGGAAGCAUCGGAUAGAUUGUGAACCUGGAUUACCCACUCAGUGGGGAAACAGGGGAGGGUCCUGUCAUCAAAAAGUGUAUAAACUGUGUUUUGGAACCAGUAGGUGCGCUCCUGCUUGUGGGAUGCCUGUCACUGCAAACGCGAAUAAAUUACGACUUCACUGAGAUCCUUGUCUGAGCCAAAGUUAUUGGCUACGAAGUGUUUCUCACAAUUUGGGGGCUCGUCCGGGAUCCAGUCACCUACCGAAGAGCCCCACCACCAGCCCCACCACCGUAGCAGCAGGAAGGCAUGCCCCGCUGAUUUCAGCGGUCCUGUGCAUCGACGGUGUCGGUUCUGAGGUGAGGCGGGUGAGACUCUGUGUGACGUGUGAUUGAGACGUACUUUUGUAUGAAGCGAGUGUGGAGUCCUGAUCUGCGGUUCCGUAGCUCCGCGAGGGGCACGGCCAGAGAUGGACGAAGCGUGAGAUAAAGGAGAGAAAGGAAGAGUCUCGGGAAAUUUGGUGUACAGUAGCCCUUGUUUGGCAGUACACCAGGGAAUGUGGUAAACUCAUAGGUGUGCGGUACCCCUUGCACAGGGAAGUGCUUGGCAGUACACCCCCAUUUUCCAGAAUCGGAAUAAUGGGAAAUAUGAGUUCCAGGGGACAGGGAGAUAUCCCUGGGGGAGUGCCUACCAAAAGUUCUUCCUGAAGAAUUAUAAGAAAUUGGAAAAAUAAUCUCAAAAUUGGAGGAGAUGAUAAAAGGAAAAAAAAAAAAAAGGUUAAAUAUUGUGUAUUAGUCUGGACAAAA
rnacentral:lncRNA from 1 species